AGCGAACGCUGGCGGCAGGCCUAACACAUGCAAGUCGAACGAACUCUUCGGAGUUAGUGGCGGACGGGUGAGUAACACGUGGGAACGUGCCUUUUGGUUCGGAAUAACUCAGGGAAACUUGUGCUAAUACCGAAUGUGCCCUUCGGGGGAAAGAUUUAUCGCCAUUAGAGCGGCCCGCGUCUGAUUAGCUAGUUGGUGAGGUAACGGCUCACCAAGGCGACGAUCAGUAGCUGGUCUGAGAGGAUGACCCGCCACACUGGGACUGAGACACGGCCCAGACUCCUACGGGAGGCAGCAGUGGGUAAUCUUGCGCAAUCGGCGAAAGCCUGACGCAGCCAUGCCGCGUGAAUGAUGAAGGUCUUAGGAUUGUAAAAUUCUUUCACCGGGGACGAUAAUGACGGUACCCGGAGAAGAAGCCCCGGCUAACUUCGUG
rnacentral:rRNA from 1 species